rnacentral:lncRNA from 1 species
GACUCUUAGUACAAAAACAUCCAUGAUUUUUUACCCACCAUUUAGCUAUUCUUACUUCUUUUAUAUUAAAAAAAUUCAACAUUAAUAAUUUAAUAUAAUUUAAACUUUUCUUUGUGGUGUGAAUUUAAGAUUGUUUGUUGAAUCCAAAGUCAACUAAAAAAGAAGUGGUAAAAAGUACUUGUCCUUUACUUUUAAGCUGCUUUAGAAGUGGAUCCAAUCAUGGGUUUCCUUUGGAAUAUGUUUUGAAGAAAGGAACCAAAGUGAAUUGAUUGAAGCAUCAUCUAUGUUCAAAUUUUGAAAUUCAAUCAUAUUUAGGUUUGUUUACAAUAAAAAAUAAUGUGGAAUUAAUAGGAGCGGAAACUUAUCUUUUUACGGAGGUGAUUGAUAUUUGCGUGGCUGAAGCAAAGGCAUGUGAAAGGGCUCUUUUGUUUGUAGUUAAGAUGGGUUAUCGGCAUCUGAUUGUUGAAGGGGACUCUUUAACAGUCAUCAAGAACAUUAAGAAAAAUGAAAAAGAUAAACCAGUUCUUAGGCCAAUAACGUAUCAAAUUAGUUUGCUGGAAAAAUGCUUUGAUUUUGUAACUUACACUUUUGUGCCCCGAAAUGUUAAUAGGACUACUCACACACUGGCGCUGGAAGGCCGGAGGCAAUAGGCCUGUGGUGUCUGGCCAGAUGGAGUUCUUGAUUCUGUGAAGACGAUGGCGAUGAUGGAUCGAUUGGCUUAGAAUCAAAAAUACCAGGGUUUUUCUUGACUCAGCUUUGAAAAUGGUGAAGACUUACCGCUCCUCCAGUUAUGGAUUCAAAGCUUCGUUCUCUUCUCUUCCUAAUCUUAAGAUCUUUUUCAGAAGGAGAAGCGAUACGUCUGUUGGCGGAUAUUGGGUUUUGAAAUUAGCUGCAGUUUUUUUGGGUUUAGGGUGGUUUUUCUUAUGCUAUUUUGGUUUUGAUUGUUUUUUAGGUUGUGUUGGCUUUUAGUUUAGGCUUUUUAAUUUCUCUGUCUUUUCAUUUUCUGUUCUGACUAUGUCUUUUCAUCUUUGCCUUAAGCCAUGUAAUUUUAAUAUAUCAACCAAUUUUUC